CCUACGGGAGGCAGCAGUAGGGAAUUUUGCUCAAUGGGCGAAAGCCUGAAGCAGCAACGCCGCGUGAGGGAUGAAGGCCUUCGGGUUGUAAACCUCUUUUCUCAGGGACGAUGAUGACGGUACCUGAGGAAUAAGCCACGGCUAACUACGUGCCAGCAGCCGCGGUAAUACGUAGGUGGCGAGCGUUGUCCGGAUUUACUGGGCGUAAAGCGCGUGCAGGCGGUUCGGUAAGUUGGGUGUGAAAUCUCCUGGCUCAACUAGGAGAGGUCGCUCAAUACUGUCGAACUAGAGGAUGGUAGAGGGAGGUGGAAUUCCCGGUGUAGUGGUGAAAUGCGUAGAUAUCGGGAGGAAUACCAGUGGCGAAGGCGGCCUCCUGGGCCAUACCUGACGCUCAGACGCGAAAGCUAGGGGAGCAAACGGGAUUAGAAACCCCGGUAGUCCUAGCAGUAAACGAUGUGGACUUGGCGUUGGUGGGGUAAAAUCCAUCAGUGCCGGAGCUAACGCGGUAAGUCCACCGCCUGGGGGACUACGGCCGCAAGGUUAAAACUUAAAGGAAUUG
rnacentral:rRNA from 1 species